GAAGCAUCUGUGUGGUUUUCUGGAGAGUCCAGGAUGUGGACUUGAAACUCUGAGACUGAGUCACUGUGACCUGUCAGAGAGAAGCUGUGAAGCUCUGUCCUCAGCUCUCAGCUCUCACUCCUUUAAUCUGAGAGAGCUGGACCUGAGUAACAUUAACCUGAAGGAUUCAGGCGUGAAGCUUCUGUCUGACGGACUGAAGAGUCCACACUGUACACUGGAAACUCUCAGUCUGUCAGGCUGUCUGAUCACAGAGGAAG